GUGGCUAUGUUUUACAAGUAACCUUGUGCUGGUUGGCUGAAAUAUGAGUCCACAGCAUUUAAACCAAUAAUAUUGUACAAGUUCUAGUGUUUUCCUUAGACUCCUGGGUAUCGGUUAGCUGCAAAGCUGCCAAAGGACAUUCCACAGUCAAAGGAAAUUGAGUGUAGGUGGGCAGUCCAGAGCCCAAGUGCAUACUUUAUAAUCUCUCAGUUGUUAUACUUACGAGGAUACAGAGGUACAAACAUGUGGACUGUGAUCCACUUGCAGUUGGUCUUAUAAAAAGAACCUAAGGAUCAAUGGCAUUCAGGCUGGAAAGAGCAUCCCUGGAUGAUAACAGAUGAUGAUUUCUAGGGGAAAAUAAACAAUGUAAGUACUCAAAUAUUUCUAUAUUU
rnacentral:lncRNA from 1 species